GGAAAGAAAAAUGUGGUCACCUGUGCAUCAUGGAAGACAAGUCAUGUGGCUUCAAUGCAACAGGGUGCCAGGCAGCAGGUGUCACUGAGGACUAAAACCAUUACUUCGCCAAACUUAAAAUAAAACAAAGAUACUGUCUGAUUAGGAAGUGACAAAGAUCAACAGUACAAAACUGAAAAUACAAGGGCGGUGGGAGGAACUCCAGCCUGGUCCUGAGAAUAGAUUUACGCUAGUAUAUCAGGCAAAGGAAGCUGUAUUGAAAGAAAAAAGGGAAGUGCACAGACACAAUAUGAUUCAGUUCAGUCACAACUGGGUAUCAGCAUACUUACAGCAAGAAUGGAAAUAGGGUGCCUCAGUGAGAAAAGAACAUUUAAAGAGCUGAGAAAUACAUGAUAUGCUCUGAUAUACUGUGAAAGCAUAUAGUAUCUUUGAGCAAGCAAUGUUUAAAAUGGGACAAUCAAAAGAAAAGGAAGAAAAUUCUCAUUGCUGAAACAGAAGAGAUGGGGAGAUUCUUUAGAAGGAAUCAUUAACAGCAUUUACUUAUCUCAAUCACAGUUUUACAUGCAAUAUUUGAAACCACAUGACUGAAAUCCCCCCACAACAGGAUUUCAGGAAAAAUUAUGAGCAAGACACUGAAAACAACAAAACAGCAGAAUACAAAAUCACAGCAAAAAUUACUAGAAGUAUUUGACUCACCUCCCCGAUGAUACCGAUAGAGGUGCUUAAUGAAAUCUAGGAAGGCAGAGAGGAAAAGCCUUUCUGAAUAAUAGAAAUAUGGAAGUAUGAGUAGGAUACUGUGAAAGGGUGACCUCAGUGACUUCAACAACUGGAGACAGCUUGUGCUACUCUUCGUCAUAGCAAAUAUCAUUUCCUGUGUGAUACAACACAUCAUUAAGUAUACACAACUUAGAAAAGCAGACAAAUUCUGUUUGAUAAAUGAAAGAGCAGGUCAAAUAUUUUUCCCUUAAACUGGACUCUUGGUCCUCAGGAUGAGCCAACAUUACUUCCAAGAAAAGUCACUACUAUCCACAAAAUGUAGAGAAGAGCUUGAUCAAAAAAAAAUCAGCUAAACCUAAACAAACUCUCCUGAAACCCUUAUGAGAAAAGGUAACAACACAUUGGUAGCAAAACCACCAGAGAAAGAAAAAAAUCCAACUAACUAGGUAUUUCUGAUUAAACUAAUUAUUUUAAUCUCCUAACCUGAUACCUUAAUUCUGAAAGUUCACAGUUGAGCUUCUACAUCUUUAAAAUACUCCUGUAUUACAUUCUGAUAUGUAAAGGAAAACAAUAGUGAAGAAAUGAAUGAAUAUGCAAAGGAUUACAGAGAUAUUUUAUAAAGCAUCCCAGAAUCAGCUUUCUUAAAACUCUUAAUACCUUUUUGUGUUCACAGACCACAGUUCUACAUACAAUUUUUCUAUUGCAUAUUUUCUAUUAACACUUCACUUACCCUCACUCUCACUUACAUAGCAGCUGUAUCUAUAAGAAUAAUGUUUGUUUACAGAAGGCUAAUAGUCCUCUUGCCAUAGUGGGCUACCCUGAC
rnacentral:lncRNA from 1 species